rnacentral:SRP_RNA from 1 species
CCGUGCUAGAUGGGGAAUUAGCGGUGCCCUGUAACCUGCAACCCGCUCCAGCAGGGUCGAAUUCCUGAGCUGAGGGCUUAUCUUGUAAGGUCUGGCUUAAGUAAGUGGCGAAGAUGUUUGGGUCCGGCGCAAUGGGACAUCUUGAACCGUGUCAGGUCCGGAAGGAAGCAGCACUAAGAGAUUAAUCCUGUGUGACGCAGGGCAGCCUGGGCGGAGUUAACUGCUUGAGUAACGCUUGGAAGGUAUUCUCGAAGCCAGGUGCACGG